rnacentral:tRNA from 1 species
GGAGGCGUGAGGGUGCCUGGUGGCCCUCCUGGUCUUCAAAACCAUUGGACGGCGCUCGGCGUCGUCGGCGGGUUCGAUUCCCGUACGCCUCCG